rnacentral:rRNA from 1 species
UACGGGUGCGGAACAUGUGUGCAAUCUGCCCUUAUCAAGGGGAUAGCCCAGAGAAAUCUGGAUUAAUACCCUAUAACAUAUGGGAUGGCAUCAUUUCAUAUUAAAAGCUACGGCGGAUAAGGAUGAGCACGCACAAGAUUAGCUAGUUGGUAAGGUAACGGCUUACCAAGGCGACGAUCUUUAGGGGGCCUGAGAGGGUGAUCCCCCACACUGGGACUGAGACACGGCCCAGACUCCUACGGGAGGCAGCAGUGAGGAAUAUUGGACAAUGGGUGGAAGCCUGAUCCAGCCAUCCCGCGUGCAGGACGACUGCCCUAUGGGUUGNAAACUGCUUUUAUAUAGGGAUAAACCUACUCUCGUGA